GUCCUCGUGGCACAACAGGAUAGCGCGGCUCCCUCCUAAGGAGCAGGUUGGAGGUUCGAUUCCUCUCGGGGACACCA
rnacentral:tRNA from 1 species